UGGGGAAUAUUGGACAAUGGGCGAAAGCCUGAUCCAGCCAUGCCGCGUGUGUGAAGAAGGUCUUCGGAUUGUAAAGCACUUUAAGUUGGGAGGAAGGGCAUUAACCUAAUACGUUAGUGUUUUGACGUUACCGACAGAAUAAGCACCGGCUAACUCUGUGCCAGCAGCCGCGGAAAUACAGAGGGUGCAAGCGUUAAUCGGAAUUACUGGGCGUAAAGCGCGCGUAUGUGGUUUGUUAAGUUGGAUGUGAAAUCCCCGGGCUCAACCUGGGAACUGCAUUCAAAACUGACUGACUAGAGUAUGGUAGAGGGUGGUGGAAUUUCCUGUGUAGCGGUGAAAUGCGUAGAUAUAGGAAGGAACACCAGUGGCGAAGGCGACCACCUGGACUAAUACUGACACUGAGGUGCGAAAGCGUGGGGAGCAAACA
rnacentral:rRNA from 1 species